GACAGAGGGGGCAAGCGUUGUCCGGACUUACUGGGUUUAAAGGGUGUGUAGGCGGACUUUUAAGUCAGCGGUGAAAUCUCCGGGCUCAACCCGGAAACUGCCAUUGAUACUAUUGGUCUUGAAUAUUGUGGAGGUGGGCGGAACGGGUCAUGUAGCGGUGAAAUGCUUAGAGAUGACCCGGAACACCGAUUGCGAAGGCAGCCCACUACGCAAUGAUUGACGCUGAGGCACGAAAGCGUGGGGAUCAAACAGG
rnacentral:rRNA from 1 species